AGAAACCUCGACGGUCCUCCUCAACACAACUUCGAAUCAUGUCUUGGUCUGGUUUAGGUCUUUUCUGUCAAUCGUAUCAUAUGUCUUCUGCUUCUGUAUAAACCAUCGAUGCUCUAUGCUGUUAUGUUAUUGGUAAAUUAGUUUGUUUGUGGCUGUAUAAGUGUUUCUUCGUUUAGCUCAGUAUCUUUGAGGAAAGUGAUGAUAUGAAAUUGUCGCCCCAGUCUUAAUUUGCAUCCAUUACGAUGGAAUGUAACAUGGUGAUUGACUAUUCUUGUCUGAUUCUUCUCAAUACACUUUCUUUCUUGUUCUUAGAAUCUAGUAUAGUGGAUAUGAUGAAAUGGCAAUAAUGUUUUGUGACACCCAGUCUGAUCUGCUUCGGCAGAGUGAGUGAUUUGCCAUAUUUUCUGAUCCAAAUUCUCUGUUUUUAAUGUUUUCAAUUUUAUGAAUUUGAUUCAAAGUUUUGACCUUUUUAAUAGAGGAAUGAGGAUAUAAUCCCAUACGUCUGCAAAUCAGAAAUACAGUGUUGAUACAAUGACAUGCACUACCAUCUGACCUCUUCUGUAUCCUGUCUUCUCGUUUGUUCUGUUUUGAGUCCUUUGUUUUCUGCAAUCAAUGAUGAAAUUAUGUCAAAGUUUAAUGAUUAUACAAUGAUUAUCAAUAUCACUAGAUCACCAUCUUUCGGCUGAGAUUGCAAGUUUUCUCUUUUCUAUCUCGUUGUGUUGUUUGGGAGAUUGCCUACGGUAUCUGAUGUCCAAAGUUGAAAAAAUGUGUUUGGACAUUUCGUUUUUCUUAGGCAGAAAGUGAAAUCAGGCUUUGCGACACUGUUAGCUUCUUAUAACCAUAAGCUACCUGUUACUUUUAUACCUGUUUACAUCUAUCUUUUAUCAAUCUCUGGUUUUAACCCCCAUUCUUAGAUUUCAUUCGUAUCAUCUCGUCUUAGAUUUCUUAUGCAGAAAGUGAAAUCAGGCAUUUACAUUGUUCUUGUUGUAGGUUUUAUUGACUUGGUUCUCUUGGUGUUGAAGUUGCUUCCAUGGGGAUAAUCUCUGGAACCAUCUAUGUCGUUCAUAUGAUGCCUUAUGGAGAUGUCAACUAGCUUAUUGAUCCGUGUUUUAUUGACAAGUUCUUGUAAGAGAGGGAAGAGCUCUGAAGGGAUUUACUACUGGAAUAUCAAAGUCAUAAGUGCUUAUUAGACUAGAUGGGGUUUGUAUCAGAAUUCUUAUGUGAUUUAACAUUCUUACUUGUAUGAUUAUAUGAUAACGAGAGUUACUCCAAUUUUUUGUUUUGACCCGAAAUAUAAACAAGACAUGAUUUUUGAACAAAAUGUGAUACACAUUCUUGGUUUCGGCUGAUACUUGUGUUCUCUUUUAAAGACCUUUACUCUCAAG
rnacentral:lncRNA from 1 species